rnacentral:rRNA from 1 species
GCACGGGGGGCCUACGGGAGGCAGCAGUGGGGAAUAUUGCACAAUGGGGGCAACCCUGAUCCAGCCAUGCCGCGUGUGUGAAGAAGGCUUUCGGGUUGUAAAGCACUUUCAGUGGGGAGGAAAACUUUGUAGUUAAUACUUGUGAGCCUUGACGUUAACAACAGAAGAAGCACCGGCUAACUCCGUGCCAGCAGCCGCGGUAAUACGGAGGGUGCGAGCGUUAAUCGGAAUUACUGGGCGUAAAGCGCGCGCAGGUGGUUUGUUAAGCGAGAUGUGAAAGCCCCGGGCUCAACCUGGGAAGGUCAUUUAGAACUGUCAGACUAGAGUAUGGUAGAGGGGAGUGGAAUUUCAGGUGUAGCGGUGAAAUGCGUAGAUAUAGGAAGGAACACCAGUGGCGAAGGCGGCACUCUGGACCAAUACUGACACUCAGGUGCGAAAGCGUGGGGAGCAAACAGGAUUAGAUACCCUGGUAGUCCACGCUGUAAACGAUGUCAACUAGCCGUU